GCCCCGGAGCAUUCCGGGUUGGCUAAAGGGGUAAUUCGCCUGGAGAUGGGUCUGCGGCCUAUCAGCUUGUUGGUGGGGUAACGGCCUACCAAGGCGACGACGGGUAGCUGGUCUGAGAGGAUGAUCAGCCAGACGGGGACUGAGACACGGCCCCGACUCCUUCGGGAGGCAGCAAUGAGGAAUAUUGCGCAAUGGGCGAAAGCCUGACGCAGCGACGCCGCGUGGGUGAGGAAGUCCUUCGGGAUGUAAAGCCCUUUUGUCGGGGACGAGAAUGGACGGUACCCGACGAAUAAGCCCCGGCUAACUACGUGCCAGCAGCCGCGGUAAUA
rnacentral:rRNA from 1 species